rnacentral:rRNA from 1 species
UACGGAGGGUGCAAGCGUUAUCCGGAUUCACUGGGUUUAAAGGGUGCGUAGGCGGGCAGGUAAGUCCGUGGUGAAAUCUCUGAGCUUAACUCAGAAACUGCCAUGGAUACUAUUUGUCUUGAAUAUUGUGGAGGUGAGCGGAAUAUGUCAUGUAGCGGUGAAAUGCUUAGAUAUCCGGAGGAACACCGGUGGCGAAGGCGGCUUCCUGGACCGAUUACUGACGCUGAUGCGCGAAAGCUAGGGGAGCAAACGGG